rnacentral:rRNA from 1 species
AUUGAACGCUGGCGGCAGGCCUAACACAUGCAAGUCGAGCGAGCGGCGGACGGGUGAGUAAUGUAUGGGGACUGCCCGAUAGAGGGGGAUAACUACUGGAAACGGUGGCUAAUACCGCACAAUGUCGGAUAACCAACAUGGGAUGAGCUAGUAGGUAAGGUAAUGGCUUACCUAGGCGACGAACCCUCGCUGGUCUGAAAGGAUGAUCAGCCACAAUGGGACUGAGACACGGCCCAGACUCCUACGGUGGCAGCAGUGGGGAAUAUUGCACAAUGGGCGCAAGCCUGAUGCAGCCAUGCCGCGUGUAUGAAGAAGGCCCUAGGGUUGUAAAGUACUUUCAGUCGGGAGGCGUUACCGACAGAAGAAGCACCGGCUAACUCCGUGCCAGCAGCCGCGGUAAUAC